CAUUAGAGUUUGAUCCUGGCUCAGAACGACCCUUUGAGGCAGGCUUAACACAUGCAAGUCGAGCGCGCCCUUCGGGGUGAGCGGCGGACGGGUGAGUAACGCGUGGGAACAUGCCCUUCACUGCGGAAUAGCCUCUGGAAACGGAGAGUAAUACCGCGUACGCCCUUCGGGGGAAAGAUUUAUCGGUGAGGGAUUGGCCCGCGUUGGAUUAGGUAGUUGGUGGGGUAACGGCCUACCAAGCCGACGAUCCAUAGCUGGUUUGAGAGGAUGAUCAGCCACACUGGGACUGAGACACGGCCCAGACUCCUACGGGAGGCAGCAGUGGGGAAUCUUAGACAAUGGGGGAAACCCUGAUCUAGCCAUGCCGCGUGUGUGAUGAAGGCCUUAGGGUCGUAAAGCACUUUCGCCUGUGAAGAUAAUGACGGUAGCAGGUAAAGAAACCCCGGCUAACUCCGUGCCAGCAGCCGCGGUAAUACGGAGGGGGUUAGCGUUGUUCGGAAUUACUGGGCGUAAAGCGCGCGUAGGCGGACUAUUAAGUCAGGGGUGAAAUCCCGGGGCUCAACCCCGGAACUGCCUUUGAUACUGGUA
rnacentral:rRNA from 1 species